AGGACAAACGCUGGCGGCGUGCGUAACACAUGCAAGUCGGACGAGGCCACUAUUCUCUUUCGGGAGGGGUGGUUGAGUGGCGGACGGGUGAGUAACACGUGGAUAACCUGCCCUGGUGUGGGGGAUACCCUGUAGAAAUACGGGCUAAUACCGCAUGCGGUAGAUUGUGGGGAGCCACGAUCUAAGAAAGCCUUUUAGGAGGCGCAGCAGGAGGGGUCCGCGGCCGAUUAGCUAGUUGGGGGGUAAAGGCUUCCCAAGGCGACGAUCGGUAGCUGGUCUGAGAGGAUGAUCAGCCACACUGGGAUUGAGAACGGCCCAGACUCCUACGGGGGGCAGCAGUGAGGAAUCUUCGUCAAUGGGCGCAAGCCUGAACGAGCAACGCCGCGUGUGGGGAAGAAGGCCUUCGGGUUGUAAAGCACUGUCGAGGGGGAGAAAGCCGCAAGGUUGAUCGACCCCUGGAGGAAGCACGGGCUAAGUUCGUGCCAGCAGCCGC
rnacentral:rRNA from 1 species